UUUUCUGGAUUCUGCUAAUGUAGUCCAUUUAAAGGUUGGAUGAUUUUUAGUAGGUUUGAUUCUGCAUCAUCCUAACCAUUUUGGGUCGGUGGUCCUUUUGGGUUUUGUUUCUUUACCUCUUCAUUCCUUAUAUUUUUAAUUGAAAAAUAUCAUUAUUAUUUUUGUUUCCUUUUGGGUCAUAAAUGCAUGAAGAUGCGUGUAGCUGGCAUUCUCAAACUGAUCUGUGGUUGGUAUCUUGUGGUUGAGAGGCUGCCACAUGACGUAUCAUGGCUACGUGCUUUCAAAUUUGUGUUUGUUUCACCCAAUUUUAGCAUUCAUUGUUUGCUUGCCCUACUCAAAUUUGCUGUUUUUGGAAAAUGGGCUUCCUUGUUUUGUGAUUUGCAUCUCAAAAUAUUUCUAGUAGUCAAGUAGGGGUUUCAAAUGCUGUGGUUGAUGCGAUGCUUUUCUAGUGUGAGCCUGGUGACACCUUACACCCCUCUUUCUUGCCUAAAUUUGCUGGCAAUAUCCGUUUGAAAAGCUUUGAAAAUUUGGGUGUUUGAUUGGCGCCAAGAAGAGCAUGGAAGGUUUUAAGGGCAAUGAAGGAACUGUCGCAGUAGGAACCACUGGAACAAUUGGCUUGUUGAUGACAAGGGAAUUGGAUCAGAUGUCUUCUGUUCCACACCAGGAGGUAUAUUCAACAAGUAAAUCUCAAAUUUCAGUUUCGAGAGGUAGUGCUAGACCAAAAAGACCGCAACCAAGAAAAUCAUUUGAAGCUAGCAGUAGCAGAAGCAGCAACAUCAUAAACCAUCUAAGCCCCGGCAUUGGCCUCAAAACAAAACUUAAUGGCAAGCAUACCCAUCAAAUACCCAUGCUUGGUUCCCAGAACCUUCCAUUGGAGGCAAGUCCAGUUACGAAGAAAAAGGAUAAGAAGAAAAAAUCUAAAAUUGUUGAAGUAGUGGACAUCAAAUGUGGUUAUGUAGAUAAAACUCGGGCUACCCCUAUACCAAAUUCUCUCAAGAAGUUGGGUUUCUCUAAGCUCUUCAAGAGCGUUACCUAAAGUUGAAAUUUUAUGUCAGACUUCAGGUUCUUGUAGCCAAACGGAGAGGUCCGGUUCUGCUUACUGUUGUCAGAUACAUUGACCAUAGAACACAUCUUUGGUAGGAGCUUGGCAGCUUGCUACUUCUUCGUCUUUUCUUUGUACUUUCUACUCUGGACACAAUUGUGGGUCUGGAAUCAGUACUGACUGAGGAGCCCAUGUUGAUAUUUUGAGACUUGUUCUCCUGUGACCAGUCUUUGAAAUUGAAUUCAAGCCGGCUAAAGUACUCAAUUUCUUGCAUUAGAAGGGAUCCAACUGUGCCUCUGGUGCCUAUUUCUACAGGAGGAAAUUCAGCCAUCUCUUUUGUGUUUCUUGUGGCAAGGAUGGUGGGUUUAUGCAUGCUUUAUUUUGUUGGUGUCAAGGAUAAAGCAAAAUCUUAUGAUUGAAGAUGUUCAGUUUGUUGUAUUGUUUUGCUGGUGAACUUUUCCACAAACUGUGUUCUUAGGUUUGAAGAGACUUAAGUGUCACAAGAACUCUCCACCUUAUACUAUUUAUAUGAAGUGCAUGUCAUCUGUUAUUGUAUAGUUUUUAGAGUUAGUUAGUGAUAUGUCAUUCCACUCAUGUGCUAGCAGUAAAACACUUGAGCUCCUAACUACUGUACUAUCCUUGUAACUUUAAGUUUCAGCAACAUGUCUUGGUACAUGCUAAUGAGAUAAUUAUUUGAGACUAUGGUCAAUGUAAUUUGGACCAGAUGGAAUUCAUGUUAAAGAAAAAGAUUGGACUUUCACUUUCA